GUCAAUGCUUAAAUUCUUUUUAUUCCCACUAUUAUUCUGAGGGACAAAACAAUGUAGUUUGUUUCCUGUUUUACUGUGCUUUUCUUCGGUUCCCAUUUUUGUGAAAGAAAAAGAAAUCAAAUACAUUGGAAUAAUAAUUUACAAGCCAAUGUUACAAAAAUUAGUACAUUGAAGAUCCUCUAUCUGUCACAGAAGAAAGGAUGCCGAAAAUUCAAUCCGAGAUCUCAAUCUGAUGGGAGGACAGUAAGAUAAUAAGGAUACCCUGGGCUUGUUCCAGAGGUCUGUUUUGUUUUUCCUACAUUUCCUUCGUUGUUCACACGUAGAAGAUUCCAAUUCAAAACAUAGUUCGACAAAUCAUAUGUACCAGGGAAGAAUACGCAAAUCUGAAGAGGAAUUUCAGUCGAGGACAUUGGCUCAAGUUGGACUGUGGUAGAGCUUGUGCCAGACCAAAUGAAUGGAGAGACGCUUUCUGGUGAUUGUGACUUUCCAACAUUGCUUCCAAGAACAUCAGAAUUGAUUUUAAUAUCGUCCACUGGAGAUAGACUGUGCCACCCUGCUUGGUUUCCUGAAGCAACUGUGUUUCCAUCACUUAAUUGAACAUUGCCACCAGGGGAAUCAUGGGUAUUAAUGCCCACAGAUGCAACAGCAUCUGUCGCGUUGUAAAUAAUCAUUCUCAAGUUUAUUUCACAAAAUGAAAUAGAGAAGUCAUGACAUUUGGUCCGUGGCCCAGCCACAACCCAUGAUAUUGGACUUGCGCUGGCAGUACUGCAAUGACAUGCAUGAUGAGAAAAGAGACGAGGUGCAUCAGACGUCCCAGGGUUGAUAUCACUUUUCAGUGGCCUAGAGAUCAAAAUGAAGUCCACUGUAUUUGUGUCUUCCUGAUUUGACAAUUCAAGCUGCUGCAAUCUUUCACAAUCAUGGAAAUCAGCCAAAGGUGAGCAACAUAUAUCAAAAAGUGCAUCUUUGUUGCCCUCAGGAGCCAACCUUACAUCACUUCCAGGGGAACGGGAAAGAGAGGAAAUUUUUUCUUCAGUCCUUGAUGAUUUCCUAAGACUCUUAAGCAUGAAGAAACAGGUUAAUGCUUGACCAGCAAUUAGAGAUUGUGAAGGAAAGAUGGCAUCAACAGCUUGAAGCAGUGAAAUUUCCCACUGCCAUCCAACAGAUGAUAACUGAUUAACCUGGAAGCUCUCUGAACUAGUUUUGUUGACAACAUCCAUGCGCACUAGAAACUCUUGCAAUUUUGAUGGACAAGGACUGAUUGUAAAUGACACAUCCAGCGAUGGCAAUACCUGCAGAUUAUAAUGCAUGCGUAGAGUACGGUAUCUCAUGACACUUGAUGCAUCCCCCAUCUCAUAGUAUAUAACUAUAUAUAAGGAAAUGGUUCCAGGAACAGCAGCUCGAAGCCAAAGAGGCCAUAAUAAAGGUCUUUCCCCCUCUAUUGAGAUGUCCUCUGGAAAUAGAAAAACGCCAUGAGACACUUUCUUAGAAUCGGCAGGUACAUCAGUUUGUUCAACGUUCGUCUUCUUUUCUAAGCAAUCAGGAAUAUCUAAAUUCAAAUCUUCAUGAUCCCCAAUAUUAAGGAAUCUAGGAUGACUGAUCUUCAUUUUCAGAUUCUUUACAGAAAACUCUGAUUGGUUCCUCAACUCUAAGACAAGAUGUCGUAAAUCUCCUGCAUAUGCCUUUUCAGGUAGAGAAUGAAUGAAUCCCUCCAGCUUGGGUAGACUCUUGAUCACUACAAAUUUCAGGUCAUUGCCAGGGGAAUGCUUAGGUUUCCUCCUUCCCUUUGCAGUUUUCCUCUUCCCAAGAUUGGACUCUAAGCUAUAAUAACCAACCACUGAACCUGACAAUUUCCAUCUAAUUCCAACAAUUCUUAGACUGCCUUCUACUUUAGGAGUGACAGUUAGUUGCACCAACUUGGUCUCAUCCCCUCCCAAUGUGAAGUCAACUUCUGACAAAGUAAAUAAAGAAGCAUCUGAGCUCAUAUCCCCCAACAAUUUAUGUUCAUCAUUCCAAAGUUCAGUGGCGGAGUGACUUGUAUCAGAUGUCAUCUCAUCUAACUCUGAAAGCUCACAUAUCAAAGAAACACUAGAGAUUGAAAUAGGGAUUUUCAAGGGAUUCUCAAAUUCAAUAUCCACCUUUAUUGCCUCUUCAUACCUCCAGCCACACAAAUGUUUGAUUCCUUAUAUUGUUUUGGCAGGAGCUUUGAUUGUAAUUCCAACCAGUUAGUCCUAGCAGUAGACAACGAUGGAAUCAUGUCCUCCUCUAACGAACGCCACAAACUUUCCCUAACACUAGCCACAGCAGGCGAUGCAUAGGUUCUAUGGUCUUCAAAAACAACUUUGAGUGAUGAGAUAUUGAUAACAGGCAACUGAAGUUUUAACGCCUCAAAUGUUUUCCCUGUUCUCUGAACAAUUUGAAGAAACUCUCUCAGGAAUAACUCCUGUGUUGUCUUGGACUGAUGGCUACAGGUCAAGACUUCCAACAAAUGUGUGAAAGCCACAUCAUACAUGCCAAGAAAAGCAUACCAUUGUCCAAUAUGGAAAUAAACAUGAUCUUUGAUGUAGCUCCAUGUGGUUCCUUUAUAAACAGAGAUAGCACUCCUAUAUGUGCGAAUUGCAUGUUUAAUCUGAUCACAUUUUUUGUAACGAUCACCAGAAAGAACAAGAUGAAAUCCAUACUUAUGUAACAUGCGUGGUUGAGACAACAAGUAACAAUAAGAUGCUUGCUCAAGCAUAACAGCUGAAUGCAGCGACUCCUCACUGCAUAUGCGAAAGUAAACAGUAGCAGCCUCUUUGUAUUGAUCUCUUGUCUUUAGCAUUUCUAUCCACCAAAGACCACAACGUGUAGCAUUUUGCUGACCAGAUGAACCAAUUUUUAAAUAAGUAUUAAAUGCAUUUUCCAUGCAAUAUUCUGCUUCCUUUCUUGAUUGAUCCAACAUAAAGUACGCAAGACCCAUCAUUUCCUGCACCCCGGCAUAGCGCUUCCAAGCCUUGUCAAGCUUAUAAUCUGUGGAAAUAAGCCGAUAGUUUGACAAUGCAAGUUCAUAAUCUCUUAACAUGAAAGCAUAGUCGCCCAAAACUCUAAUCUGAGACUCAAUAGAGCUGAAGGUAUACAUGAGCCCACUAGGGGAAUCUGGUGUAUCUUCUUUCCCUUUUCUCCACCACAAGUUUUUAAUUUGGUUUCUAAAACCUUUCCUUGUAGCAGAUACCUGCUGAUUUAGCGCACGCACUUUCUGCUCCAUGUAAGGAAUGAUGUGUUUAGAUGAUAAUUCUUGCAUCAGAUCUUUUAUCUCAUUAAGAUCAUCGAUAUUAAGGAGACAACCAAGAUGCUGAUUAGGAGAAGCAACAGAUUUACAAGGAGCCCACAGGCUAUCUUGAUGUUCUAUCUGCCUAUCUUGUGAUGAAUUAAUGCAAAGCAUAUGACAGUCAUUUGUCCCAAAUGUAUUUUUCAUCUCUGUUAGAAGUUUUGUUGCCUUCUCUGAGGAACGAUCUUGAUUAUCAUGCACCAAUAAAUAAUGUUUUAAAAUCUUUGGGUCCAUUGCACCAUCAUUGAGAAGAGACGGCAACUUGUUAGUGUUGAAAAGGUCAACAAAUCGGUUGAUAGGUUGUUCAUCCUUUGAAGAAACAACCAAAAGGCAUGCCACAGGGUGGUCAAAAGCUUCAUGGUCUGAAAAAGACACAGUACGUACAAGCUCUUUGUUAAAAAACUCAAACCAUGACGGUAGAAUUUCAGAUUCAGAGCCAAUUGGAGGUGGGUCUGAGCACAAUUCAGAAUUAUCUUUCUCCCCAGCCUGGGUAAUAACUUGCUUCAGUCUCUCCUUUGCUACCUCCAGAUUUGGCUGCCGAAUAUCUGAUUCAUAAAACAACCUAAGCUUGAACUUCUGUAGCCUGUAGGGUUGGUCACUCGAUGUCCGUACUGGCACAUCGAUGUUACUGAAGGUGCAGAAAGGGCUGAGCAUUUGGAUAAAGGAGAGACCAUUCUUGAGGCAGGCUUCUUCUACGAGAGGUGUGCGGAGCACCAUGACCACCGGAGUGAUUUCCUCCAAUAGCAUUUUGCCCAGCGGCGUGGUCCCUGGAUCCAUCGGUUACAAGUAGCUAAUCACUCAACGGGAUUUGUUUGAUCGGAUCUGUCUCUCUCCCUCGGGACUGAGUAGUGAGGGUCGAAGAAGAUUCUUUGCUUGCAAUGAAACGGGUUACCAUUUUUGAAAAUGGCUGUAGCCCGAUUUGUU
rnacentral:misc_RNA from 1 species